rnacentral:rRNA from 1 species
GUUAUAUGGUCAAGUGAAGAAGCGCAUACGGUGGAUGCCUUGGCAGUCAGAGGCGAUGAAAGACGUGGUAGCCUGCGAUAAGCUUCGGGGAGUCGGCAAACAGACUUUGAUCCGGAGAUCUCUGAAUGGGGGAACCCACCCAGCAUAAGCUGGGUAUCAUGCACUGAAUACAUAGGUGUAUGAGGCGAACCAGGGGAACUGAAACAUCUAAGUACCCUGAGGAAAAGAAAUCAACCGAGAUUCCCUUAGUAGUGGCGAG